GACUUUUAAGGUCCUUUCUCACUCUGUGAGAACCCAAAGCACUAUGAAACUAUAAAAUGCUUGUGUCUAAACAACUAUCCAUGGGCUUUUGAAAGUUUAGCUUAGUAGAGAUAACACACAUAGAGACACAAAAAAAGUCACUUCUAGAGGGAGAUUACUGUAGGAUGAAAGGUAAAAGAUUGCACCUCCUUUUGACUGAUCCUUUCCUUCCUUCAUUCACAUCUACAUCACCUAAGAGAAGGAGCUAAUACAGAACCAGGAUGGUGCUUCAAGCUGGUGCUGACUUUAAGCCUCCUGAGAAAUUGGUUUGGUGACACCUCUUUCAGCAAGACUUUUCUAGACUGCAAGGCCCUUCCCGCAGCUCAGCAGUGAGAAGUGGAAACCAGAAGAACAGAAACCAAGUGUAUUGUUUUUCACCUGGAAGAAGGUGAGCUAUUAAAGCUCCAAGGA
rnacentral:lncRNA from 1 species